GUGAAUCAUCGAAUUUUUGAACGCAAACUGCACUCUCCUCGUAUAGUAUGCCUGUUUGAGGGUCAACCUAUAAAAAAUCGACAUCGUUGCUUUUUCCCGGUGACUGGCGUCUUAAGUUGGGUCAUCUUAAAUCUUUUGGGCUUAUUCGACUUCAAAUUUUCUUUUUGAUUCCAUGAACGUAUGUCUAAAAUUUAUUUCUUUUCACUUUUAAGUUAUCGAUUUUUAUUAGACGUUACCAGCAUUUCUGAU
rnacentral:misc_RNA from 1 species